rnacentral:rRNA from 1 species
GACAGAGGUGCCGAGCGUUAGGCGGAAUCACUGGGCUUAAAGCGUGUGUAGGCGGACUGAUAAGUACCUUGUGAAAGCCCCCGGCUCAACCGGGGAAUUGCGUCCUAAACUGGAUGGCUGGAGUGAGAUAGAGGUGCGUGGAACUUCCGGUGGAGCGGUGAAAUGUGUUGAUAUCGGAAGGAACGCCGGUGGCGAAAGCGACACACUGGGUCUCAACUGACGCUGAGGCACGAAAGCCAGGGGAGCGAACGGG